rfam:Schistosoma curassoni strain Dakar, Senegal genome assembly, scaffold: SCTD_contig0001314
GCACUGCUGAGGAGUCCCACAAUAGGAUGAAACGGUCGUUCAGUGC